rnacentral:rRNA from 1 species
GUGGUCAAGUUUUUAAGGGCACACGGUGGAUGCCUUGGCAUCAGGAGCCGAUGAAGGACGUAGGAAUCUGCGAUAAGCCUGGGG